AGAGAGGAGAGCAGCCGCGGUGCUGGCCCGUAGAGCCGUGGUUGGUGUGCGAGGCGACCGGCGAAGGGACCCUGCAUCCGCGUGGUAUGUUGGUCGGCUCGCCGAGUGGGCACUUCGAAACGGCAUGACCCUGUAGAGGUUCAUGCCACUGCCAGAACAUGUCCUUCUCCACCGCCGCUGCCAUAGGCACCGUUUUCUUGAGCUGCCACAGGCUGGAGCCUCUGCCGGUGGAGAAGGAGGCGACAUGGACUGCCUGCUCUGGGUCUACGACUACAUCGUCGAGUUCUUCCAAUACAAGGACAUCCUGCCCGACGGCUCUCAACACGUGAGGUGAGAAAUCGAAACAUUAUGCAUUCUGAUUCUGUCAAUUGAUGGCGACCAGCAGACCAGGCCGAGAUCCGAUGUCUACGUUAACCUCCGCCCUCGAUUGAGAAGCUCGACGACAUGCUGCUUGCCAAAUCUGAGUCUCUUUGUCCUUGCCAAACUAUUGAAGACGCGCAAGCUCAUGCCAACAACCGGGUGAAAAGAAAGGAAAGGAGAGAUGCGUGCUAGGAGCAGUACUAUCCGGUGAUUACGUACGUGCAUGCACGGGUCAAGCGUUCAUGUGGCUUAAUUUCAUGUUCGCGCAGGAGAUCAUGGAUGGCUUUUAGAAGACUGUCUUCUGGUACUUUCGAGACAAGAGUCACAAGAAUAGUUGCAACGACUUGGCGCCCUCACGUCCGGCAAGACACUGGGGCGAGGAGAGGUGGUGGAUGCCCGGGCCAUGCAUGACAAAGUUAAGUUGAUAAAGAUGCUAUUUUCCCCCAUUUAGUGGUGCUUGGAGAGAUAUAUGCGUGAAGAUUCUGGGCUCCAAGAGAAGCCCCCUUGGCAUUACCUUAUAUAAGUAUGCAAUUGUAUUUUGUGGCCAUCAAGCAAGUUUAGUUCUAACAAUACAAGACUCCCAUGCAUUGAAGUUUAUUUCGCCUCAUAGUUGGCCUUGUAAGAGUGUGGAGGGAGAGAAACUAUCGGCGUGUCCUUUCCGCCUCCUUCUGGACCUCCCCACUGUAGUUCCGGCU